CCAUGGUGGGGCAGAAGGGCUGAGGAAGCUGCUGUCCAUGGGGACCCAUGUAGAGCAGCACCCAAAAUGCAGCCUUUGUUUCUCACAUACAUUUCUCAAGUAGAGUACCCCUGUUUGGCUAACAAGAUCUCACUAUAGUUUUGUGGGAAAUGUUAAACAACUCAUCUAUUGAUUUUACUACUGUGAGUUCAGAAAAUACAUUUUUCAUGUACAGGAUUAAGAAAAUGUGUUACAACUACUUGGUGCUUUCUCUUGUAUUGCACAAUGGAGUGCUGAUCUACUUCUGCAGCUUUGACUUGGAAUAUUUCUGUAAAGUAGGACACUUCCUAAAGGGAGAUACUGAUAAGUUUGUCAUCUCUGGCCUUUUCAACAAGCAAUGAAUGGUCAAGCAACAAUACAGCUCAUAGUUUCCCAGCACUAAUCUGGAACAACAUCAUAAAUUAUAAACAAAAUCCAGACGUCAAGGAAGAAUGGAAAUAGCGCUGUAAAGAGAAGAGUAUGGAACUGGUGCUCUCAGAAUGGUCUAAGUGUACACAGAAGGUCAUACCAUAAAAUCCUGCCAAGGGGAAGAAAAUUCUUCUCCUAACUAUUUUUGGAUUUAUUGACAACAUCUAACCAAACCCACUGGGAGAGUCUUCAGAGAGUAUCCACAUCCUUGCCAUCUGUCUUCGGCAGCACUGUGCCUCUGGGAAGCAAAGACUGGAUCUGCUUACUCUGUCCCGAACAACAACAGUAUCAGCUGAGAGGAUAAAGACAAGUUGCACACACUAAGAAGAUGUUAGCAUUUUAAUCUCACAGAUUAGUUUAGGCUCUUAAGAUCAUUUAAAAUGCAAUUGCACAGAGUACUGGCAGAACCGCUGAGGAGCAAUUGGUUCACCUGUACUUUUUUCUGUCUUAGGUUUAAGUGCCUAGCAUUGAAAUUGGUAGCUUGAAUACUUUUGAAUUCAGAAGCUAAGACAAUGUCACAGAUAAACUUUCUAUGCAAUAAAUGUCCGCUUCAUCAGUCUUCUUAGAAGUGAUAUGAUUAACUUCUGACAGCAUUUUGAGAACAUGUGCAGUUCUUUAUUUGGAUGUACGGUUGAAGCAGUGAUAAAUUCCUUUUCAAAAGCAAAUGAAGAACUAUAGGUAUGGUAGAUGCCAACUUCCUGCCUGGCAAUUGGCUUCUGAACAUUUGCGUUCUUGCCUUCCUGUGUGUUUCUUUAUUACUUCACUGAUCAGACGCAUUUGCAGCUUCCACUUCUGCUGUCUGACCUGCACCUGUUGUAUGCAAAUACCACUGAAAUGUCUUCAGAGCAGAAAGAACAAAAAACUGAAUAACUUUUAUGGAAAACUGGUAACUAAAUUGAUAUAUAUCAGCUCCUCAGUUGUACUUCAUUUGCAGCAUAACUUUAAUUUUGGCAUUCUCUAACCCCACUUAAACUGUGAAAGAAACUGCACAAUCUGCCUCACAACUGGUAUAAACCAUUUCUGGCUGACUUGGACUUUCUAAGUCUUAAAACAAUAAAGGUAAAACUAAGCACAAAAUAUUUGUUAACACAAAAUAGAUAAAUACUAAGAGAAGAAUCUGGAAGAAAUGAUGUUAUGACAAACCAGAAAAAGGAGCUAGAUUUAAUUGUUGAAGAUUCUCUUUUUUUAUAUUUCUAAUUAGCAUUUUUUAUAAAAUGUGUUUCCAAGACUGUUCUGAAAGUAUCCAGAAUGUUUGAUCUUGCUGAUGUGUCCUAUUAGGCCUGAUGUGUUCCAUGCAAUGGGACAUUUUUUUGACAGCAAGGAAAUCUUGCCACUGUGGAGUUUUACAAACCUCUCCUUAAAAUCAGUAGAUCCAGAGGUCAGUUUUAGAUCCACAAUUGUAGCUGGCAUUUUCUGACUAUUCCAAUAAGAGAGAAGUUUAUGAUAUAUAGUGAUGAGGCCUGAGAAUUUUAGGGAAAAGAGAUAUUAGACAGCAAAAAACAGUGAAAAUUAAAUAUUAUUUCAGAGGCCAGAUUUGGAGGAAGGACAGGGAACUAAUGACAUUCAGCAUGGAUACAGCUUUAUUUCAUAUGGGGCAGAGCCAUGUGAGAGUGUGAAAAUGGAAAUGAUGCAGUAGAUAUGAAACCUUUCUACACUUAUUGUUGGAGAACCUUGAAGUUUUGUGUCAUGUGUGUUUUACAGAUCAUCCCUGCCCCAUUGGUUCCUUCACUCACAGUCUGGAGAGAGGACAUAACCCAGUCCAUUGCCUUAACUACAGGGCUAAGUGAUGGCAAACAUGUUUGCCGGAAGAGGUGCUGUUUCAAAUGUUCAUAAUGGCAGACAUGCCAAAGAGUAACACCAGGGCUUGCCCAACAAAGUAAAUGAUGAACAUCUUACAGCCUUGGUGCUUACACCACAUCCAUGCAGGGAAGAAUAAACGCAAGACUUACUGGAAGUAAGUGGAAAAAUGCGGGUAAAAUAUCUAGACUUUUAAUUCUGGGUUAGUUACUGGAAAAGGAAGGAUUUAUUUGUUUCUUUCUUCUGCUCACAUUACCUCAUUGGAUUUGCACCUGACUGAACCCUUUCCAACUGAGCACGCCUCACUGUCUGCAGCUACACUUUACUCCUGCCACGCACUUUAAAAACAAUCUGUGUUUUUCCCAGCCUGGAGCUUUAAAAAACUGUCAUUGUUUUCAGGUGUUAUUUGCCUCAUGCUGUUCUCGGGCCGGCUCUGCAGUAUGUCACAAGACCAAGCUGCUGGGCUCCAUAC
ensembl:lncRNA